AUAACUUUUGAGUGCGUCCUAUCUCUCUAGACCCUAUAUGUGACUUGUGGGAUUAUAGUGAAUAUGUUGUUUUGUUACAGGAUGCUUUCCCGAAACAACCUCUCUACCCCACAAAGGUGGGGAUAACUUUUGGGUACGUCCUAUCUCUCUAGGCCCUACUUGUGAUGACUUGUGGGAUUAUGAUGGAUAUGUUGCUACAGGAUGCUUUCCGAAAACAACCUCUCUACCCCACAAAGUGUACUUCUCUCUGAUCAUUCUCAAAACCGCAAGAACCACAAUCCUAGCUUCAACCUGUCAGUAUGCAAAAAAACAAGUUGAUGAUCAGAUGGUUGUGUACAAGAGAUUGUGAAUAUAUAGCUCGAUACAAUCUUUACCUUAGUAAGCCCUCGGAGAUUAAUGGAGAUGCUGUUUGCACUGUCCUUCUGCAAGUGUUCUGCAACUUUCUCCAGAAUCAUACUUUGAGGCCCUAAAUCAGUUCUAUUACGAGUGCUGAAGUUGUAUUUCCUCUGAUUGGCAUUCUGUAUUACGCCUUCACACCACUGCUCAAUUAAUUGCUUGAGAUAGUAAUCGUUGGGUUUGUACCUGCAAUCUUUAUGAUAUAAACUGGAAAUUUCCUUGAUUUCUUAGUAAAAAAAAAAAAAAAA